UACGUAGGGGGCGAGCGUUGUCCGGAGUUACUGGGCGUAAAGCGCACGCAGGCGGUCUGCUAAGUUUGGAGUGACAGUCGGUGGCUCAACCACCAAAGUGCUUUGAAAACUGACAGACUUGAGGGCUUCAGAGGGACACGGAAUUCCGGGUGGAGUGGUGAAAUGCGUAGAGAUCCGGAGGAACACCGAAGGCGAAGGCAGUGUCCUGGGGAGUACCUGACGCUCAGGUGCGAAAGCUAGGGGAGCGAACGGG
rnacentral:rRNA from 1 species